GACGAACGCUGGCGGCGUGCUUAACACAUGCAAGUCGAACGAUGAAGCAAAGAAUUGAAGCUUCGGCAGAAAUUCAUUUCGGAUUAGUGGCAGACGGGUGAGUAACGCGUGAGCAACCUACCUCUUACAAAGGGAUAGCCUCGGGAAACCGGGAUUAAUACCAUAUAACAUUGCGACGAAGCAUUUCGAUGCAAUCAAAGCUACGGCGGUAAGAGAUGGGCUCGCGUCCCAUUAACCAGAUGGUGAGGUAACGGCUCACCAUAGUAACGAUGGGUAACCGGGCUGAGAGGGUGAACGGUCACACUGGAACUGGGACACGGUCCAGACUCCUACGGGAGGCAGCAGAGGGGAAUAUUGCACAAUGGAGGGAACUCUGAUGCAGCGACGCCGGGUGAGUGAUGAAGGAAUUCGUUUCGUAAAACUCUGUUCUAUGGGAAGAAAAGGACUGUACCAAAGGAGAAAGCGCCGGCUAAAUACGUG
rnacentral:rRNA from 1 species